rnacentral:rRNA from 1 species
UACAGAGGGUGCGAGCGUUAAUCGGAAUUACUGGGCGUAAAGCGCGCGUAGGCGGCUUUGCAAGUCGGGUGUGAAAUCCCCAGGCUUAACCUGGGAACUGCAUUCGAGACUGCAUUGCUAGAGUAUGGGAGAGGGAAGUGGAAUUUCAGGUGUAGCGGUGAAAUGCGUAGAUAUCUGAAGGAACAUCAGUGGCGAAAGCGACUUCCUGGACCAAUACUGACGCUCACGUGCGAAAGCGUGGGGAGCAAACAGG